rnacentral:rRNA from 1 species
UACGGAGGGUGCAAGCGUUAUCCGGAUUCACUGGGUUUAAAGGGUGCGCAGGCGGAUAUGUAAGUCAGUGGUGAAAUCUUCCCGCUUAACGGGAAAACUGCCGUUGAUACUAUAUAUCUUGAAUGCUGUGGAGGUAAGCAGAAUAUGUCAUGUAGCGGUGAAAUGCUUAGAGAUGACAUAGAAUACCGAUUGCGAAGGCAGCUUACUACACAGAUAUUGACGCUCAUGCACGAAAGCGUGGGGAUCAAACAGG